UACGGAGGGUGCAAGCGUUAUCCGGAUUCACUGGGUUUAAAGGGUGCGUAGGUGGGUUGGUAAGUCAGUGGUGAAAUCUCCGAGCUUAACUUGGAAACUGCCAUUGAUACUAUCAGUCUUGAAUACCGUGGAGGUCAGCGGAAUAUGUCAUGUAGCGGUGAAAUGCUUAGAUAUGACAUAGAACACCAAUUGCGAAGGCAGCUGGCUACACGAGUAUUGACACUUGAGGCACGAAAGCGUGGGGAAUCAAACAGGG
rnacentral:rRNA from 1 species